UGAUGAAGGGUUUCGGCUUGUAAACACUUUUUAAGAAGAGAAUGACUGGGAGUACUGUUCAGUGUGUGACGGUUUUUCCCGAAAGGACGGCUAAAUACGUGCCAGCAGCCGCGGUAAUACGUAUGUUCCAAGCGUUAUCCGGAUUUAUUGGGCGUAAGCGAGCGCAGACGGUUGUUUAAGUCUGAAGUGAAAGCCCACAGCUUAACUGUGGAGGUGCUUUGGAAACUGGAUAACUUGAGUGCAGUAGAGGAGAGUGGAACACCAUGUGUAGCGGUGAAAUGCGUAGAUAUAUGGAAGAACACCAGUGGCGAAGGCGGCUCUCUGGACUGUAACUGACGUUGAGGCUCGAAAGUGUGGGUAGCAAACAGGAUUAGAUACCCUGGUAGUCCACACCGUAAACGAUGAGUGCUAGAUGUUUGAGGGUUUCCGCCCUUAAGUGUCGCAGCUAACGCAUUAAGCACUCCGCCUGGGGAGUACGACCGCAAGGUUGAAACUCAAAGGAAUUGACGGGGACCCGCACAAGCGGUGGAGCAUGUGGUUUAAUUCGAAGCAACGCGAAGAACCUUACCAGCUCUUGACAUCCUUUGACCACUUCAGAGAUGAAGCUUUCCCUUCGGGGACAAAGUGACAGGUGGUGCAUGGUUGUCGUCAGCUCGUGUCGUGAGAUGUUGGGUUAAGUCCCGCAACGAGCGCAACCCUUAUUACUAGUUGCCAGCAUUUAGUUGGGCACUCUAGUGAGACUGCCGGUGACAAACCGGAGGAAGGUGGGGAUGACGUCAAAUCAUCAUGCCCCUUAUGAGCUGGGCUACACACGUGCUACAAUGGCAAGUACAACGAGCAGCUAACCCGCGAGGGUACGCGAAUCUCUUAAAACUUGUCUCAGUUCGGAUUGUAGGCUGCAACUCGCCUACAUGAAGUCGGAAUCGCUAGUAAUCGCAGAUCAGCACGCCGCGGUGAAUACGUUCCCGGGCCUUGUACACACCGCCC
rnacentral:rRNA from 1 species